AUUUUAUCGACAAAUAGAGCAUCUCUAUUAGGGAUGUGCUGGAUAAACAAAGCAUGUUUCAACACGUCUCUGGCAGGAAAUCAGGGCAAAAGGGUGACAAACGUGAGGACAAACGAGGGCUUAAAACUGACGGAGGAAGAACGGCUCCCAAAAGGAAGUGGAAAGGGUGAAACCGACAAAGACACAUGCGCAUGCGAAAACAAUUGAAGCGUGCAAACAGCAGAAAAAAAAAUAAA